CGGAGAGGACAGCCCUGGGAGAAACAUGGACACUGCGCUUGAAGAGCUUCAGUUGCCCCCAAAUGCCAAAGGCCCCGUAAAACAGAUCUCGCCACGGAGUCCGCAAGCAGCAGAGACUGUUGGCCGGCCGGCCGGCCCUGCAGGCUUGAGAAGGCCCCCCGACAAGCAGCCAUCUGAUCACAGCUAUGCCCUUUUGGACUUAGAUUCCCUGAAGAAAAAAACUCUUCCUCACUCUGAAGGAAAAUGAAACGCUCCAGAAGCGCUUGCAGGCCCAGAGGCUGGUGAAGCGAAGGAUGUCCAGCUGCCUCCGUGCCUGCAAAGGGCACCGGGGACUCCAGGCCAGACUUGGGCCAGAGCAGCAGAGCUGAGCCCCACAGGCUCCGGACGCAGAGGCGGCAGUGGCACCAGGGCCGGCAGGGCUUUGGAGCUCUGGCUGUGGACAUUUUUGUCUGCUGUGGACAUUGAGAAAGUUGGCCGUGAGGCCUGCCGGGCGGGGGAUUGAAACAGUAACCAAGCUCCCUGGCGAGAGCCCCGACGCCGUCUGAAGGACGUUUAGAGGCAUGGUACUAGGACUGAGCAUGACAAGCUUAUCCUCCCAUAGUAACAGAAGUCCAGGCUGAGGCUGAUUCUGAACUCUGUCCUUUCAGCACGCGCAGAGCGAAGGUCGUUGGAAGCCCCAGUAUGGGAGAUGCUCCUCAGGGAGGAAGCCAUGUGAGGGGGCCGGCUCUGUGGCAGUGAGGCAACUGAAGCUUGAAGAAAUUAAAUGACUUGUUCAAUGUCACAUAGACAAGGACUCAGGGCCAGGCUGAGUUUAGGGUGAGGCUUGUGAGACAGGGCUGUACAACUACAGGAUGUCUUUCUUUGGAUAUUAAUAAAUAUAGUUAUUUGCCUCACAAAUCAGCACAGCCAAUGACUAUUUUGAAACCCAAAUGAAGAAUUUUUCAGAUAGGCUGCAAAUGAGAGUCCUACUUACCAAACCUGAGAGAACUAUGCUAAAUGUACCCUCAGUUCUACAUCACUCCCUAACAAACUCAGAAAUCUAAAUAAAAAUGAAAAUCAUACAUCA
ensembl:lncRNA THAP3P1 THAP3 pseudogene 1